ACUGUUUCUCGGAUUAAAUUGCAGUUGUGGUUUUUGAAGUGCCUCUUCUCUGAAGGCAGGAGUAAAUCCACGUGCGCUCUGCUGCUCACAGCAGCUUCCAGACUGAGGAACAGUAAUUACUUGAACUUGAUACAGAACCCAACACCUGAAAGCUCCAUGGACGAAUAGUCAACAACAGGGUUCAAUUAACUCAAGAUCACCUCCCGUCUCUCACUGCAGGGCAUCAGCUCUGCUGUGGCAGACAGGCUGCAUUAGAGAAAGCAUCAGGUUGCAGAUGUGGGGAGCAUAUUGCCUUGCAAUGCUUUCGUCUACGAUCAUGACAUGAAAGUACAGUGAACCAAGCAAACUUUUUUUUAAAAUUUCCAAUCUGCCGUCUUCCUGAUACAAAUGCAGUUUCCAGGUGAACUGACAUGCGUGAAGAAGAAGAAAACUGAGGUGGUGCAUGUUACGUGACUAGGAUAAAACGGGCAAAUGGGUGAGAGAGAGACACCAAUUGUUCUCCAGACACUCAAUAGCUUCUGAUAUUCAGCAAAUAGAGUGAGAAUGAAAAGCAAACACCAGAGCCAUGUUUAAAUCCAGCCAUCUGCAGUUCUCAUUUUACAACUCCAAGUGUCCAUUCAAGCUUCAGACCAGGUUGUAUGAUUGGAAUUUUGAAAAUCUAGUGCACAUCUGAUCCUCUGCAGCCCCCACUUGGAGUUUGUGAUGCUUUGCUUUCUGAAGACAAGUCUCAGUGCGGUUUACAGAGAUAAUGCAGCUCCUCAGGUCAGGCUGGUUUGAGUGGGAGGAAGGUGAGAGGUUUUCCCAGCGAACCCACCUCUAAUGAUUGUCGCAGAUUAAGCCAGAAUGGGGGAGAUUAUAUCUUUGCUUUGCUUUGUUUGCUGCUGUGUUUGCUGAUCUCUUCACCUCUCUGCUUACCUGUGUGGACUUAAAGGGAGCAGUUGUUGCAUUAGGAAUCAGUCGGUGUGUACCAGAAGUACUCUACUAAGAAGAGAAACUGUCUUGGGGAGUUCGGUUCGAUUUUCUGGAUCAAUGUCUCCUCCUACCCUCUUUAAUUCUUAUGGAACAGAAUAACCCAUUCAAAGACAGACAAUCAAUCAUGACAGACAGCAUGAAAAAUCUACUAGUGUGUGUUUUUUCUUUACUAUUUCGUGAAUUUUUUAUGAAAUCGAACAAAACCUACGUGAAUUUCCGCAAAGAAACCUUCAAGAAACCGCAAUUGAUAUUUUCCAUAACCACAGAGGAGUUGUGCUGUUUUUUUGGUGUUUACACAAAGACAUUUGGAAGGACAAUGCAGAAGAGAGGCGGUUGUUAAUAUUAUCCAGGGUGUUGCUCAUCCUAAUGAGGCACAGCCUGCGAGGAGUGAUGAAGCCACCUUAGUGUGACAUGCAGCACAGCCCCAACAGAUUUUCUACCUUAGCACAGUAAUGGCCCUCCGCUCCCGAGGGGCUUCUAUAAAUAAAUACGCUGUCAUACACAUGCACACACACGGAAAUGCACAUGCACAUGCACACACAAAGUUGCACAUUUUCCCAUCUUGCCUCUGACUUUCUCUUUCAGCCUAUUAUUUUCCCACUUGUUCUCCCCACGAAGCGCACGCACACACAUUUCUUUAAAUAGACACACUGAUGUUGUAAUUUAGUCGAUCGUUUGCGAAGGACUGAAACCUUCUCAUUGGGCUAGAUCAAACCGUUUGGCAAUCACCUAAUUCCCCAUCAGCACACUGUCAGAUUGUCAAAUAUGUUUCAUUUCUCAACCAGCAGAAGGUACAGAAGAGGUGUUCUUUCAUACAGAAGGAGAGAGAAAAAGAGAGUGUGAGGGAGUGAGUGAGAAAGAAAGGCUUAGUGAUGAGAUAGAUUGUCACUUAACUGAUUGGUGUGAUAGCACAAUGUCUUCAGAGAGGGAAAGUGGUCGGAAGGCUGUGAUUUUGCUGUGCACUCAGUACCCCCCUCACAUUAUAUAAAAAUUAUUUGUAAAAGCAAGAAUCUCUCAUUUUUGUUUUUUUUUUUUAAUUUGAAUUUUCAGGCUUAAAAAAUAGUUUAUUAUUUCUGGAAAUGCGCUUAUGUGCUUUUUUGUCAAGUGUUAGACGUGAAGGCCGAUACAUCUGUCAUAUCUAUGCUCUGAAUAUGAAGCCACAGCUAGUUAGUUUAAUUUAGCUGAAAGACUGGAAACAAGGAAAAAUGCUAUUUACUGGUAUCUACAAAAAUCUACAAAACGUCCACACGGGGUUACAUUAGAGACUAUUUUUUGGCUGUUUGCAGUAACUUCCUUGUUAUCCACUUGUGGCAGUUGAGCAGGUAUAAAAGUUGCAUUAGUUCCAUUUUCUAAAGAAAGUAAUUGAAUUUAUUUCCUAAAAGCUGAGCUGUUUCUUUAAAUAAAGAUUAACCAAUGAUACGCACCAUAUAAUAGUACAAGGCCUUAUUUGUACUUGUUGCCUAAUGGCUGCUGUAACUGGGACCAAAUGGUUGUUUCAUUUGCACUUGAUGGUCCAAAACAAAUAGACCUGAAACAAGUUUCCAAAGAAAUCUAAGUGAAGAACCAAAGGGCAGAUGGUGAGAGAAGUUAUAGACCAACAGAGACACUGCUGCUGUCUACUCACUUGCACAAGUUCAUGGCAAGAAUAAAAUAGGUUUGCUGUGUCAUAUAUGUGUUAAUGUACUUACACUAUUGAAACCUGUACAGUAAGAAAUGAGACAUGACACGUGGAGAAAAAAAAAUGUUUUUCUGGGUCAGCAAAGCAAAGAAUUGUAGCUGAUUUUGCUUCUAUUUAGAAGAGGAUGUAAUACUUUGCUGUCUGAAAGUGAGUUUGGAUUCUGCUGCCAAUCAACUGUGUUUUAUCCUUCUGGUCUCAAAGUUUAGUUUAAGUCGUCCACAGAGGCACAGAUGUUCCGCCAGGCCUGCCAGUCAAACAUACAGAGAUUAAAAAAAAAAAAAAAAAAAGAUGCUGAAAUGAUGAGAGAGGAAAAAUCUGUUUAAAAUGUGUAGAAUCCAAAGUGAACAUAUGGUUAUGUGAGAGAGGAUCAAAGGCUACAUCCCUGCACUAGAGUCUUUGUGUGCUAAUAUUGAUGGUAAUUAUGUGAGACUCCUGUGGUGUGCUGACUGAAGAGGAACUAAUGUUAAUUUGUUGUAAUUACAUUCAAGAGUAGCGCUUUGGGUAGCAGCGUACUGUAGACGAGCCAUACGAGCCUCAGGAGAUCACCUUAGUGGUACAUGAGUCGGUCUGCCAGGAUGACACCACAGAAGAAGUCCUCUGGGAGCAGCAGUACACCUCCUCAGGUAGCUCACCUGAAACCCCGUGGCCACUCAGCACAUCAAAUGACUGACAUGCAGGUGUUUUUCAUUAAAAGGUUCCCAGAGAGGUCCUACGCAUUUAAAUGUAGUCCCUAGCAUACCACGGUGCAUUACAGUAAGAGCUGAUAGUCAGUGCAGAGUAGGUGGAUUGUGUGAGUUUCAGUCAGUGUCCCACUAAUCUCCAGGCAGCGGUCCCAGGAGUCCCUGUUUUCCACAGUCUCCUGCCAGAGUCUCAGCCUACUCACUGCUCUCAUUUCUGCUGCUCCUUCUUCCACCUACCAGACACCAGUCACCAGCACAUCAGCUUACCUGUGUCUGCUGUGAGAUGUAGGCCAUGGAGGUAUGGAAGCACACUGGUCGUAAGUGGGCCAAGUAUAAGAGGAGAGGAGGUAUGGGUCACAGGUUGAAGAUUUGGAAGUUAUGAGAUACAAGAAGGCAUAGAGACACACAGUUCAUGGUCUGUUAUCACUGCUGUGGCUGCCUAUAUGUGUAUAUAUAUAUACUCCUCUAGUCUGUUGUAAUACCUUCUGUAGUGGCUUUUUUCCCUAAAAUGUAACCCUGCUUCACUUGUCUUUCCUUAAAGGACAGAAUUUCAAAAGCAAAAUCCUCAAAUCAAUAUUUUAUGCUAAUAAACAUUACUGACGUGGGUCACAGUCACACGAUAUGCAACUAAGGCUGCCGCUUUAAGCUCAUAAUUGCUGGAAAUUCAUCGUCUGGCCACCUCAUUCCGCGCAUGACGUCGAACCUCUUAAAGUACCUCAGGCAGCUCCAUCUCCCUGGAGAACACAAGCUGAGAGUCGAUGGGUCCUGUGUAAACUGAGCAGCAUGAUGUAAAUUGAAAGGGUUAGUGAUCUGUGGGAAACUUGACUCCCUUGUCGUUACAUUAACACAUUUGUGGUUCCAGAUGCAGCUCUCAGAGGACAGCGGCAUAGACUCAGCUGGGACAGUUUAGGAAGUCUCAGCGUGUGAGUGUCUCUUUAUUUGGGCCGAACCUGAGGAGUGAAGGAAUUGUUACAGUCAGUGGGUGAUGGAUGGAUGAAUUGAUGAAUUAACGUAAGCACCGUCUCCUUAAGUUACUGAAGGAUUGACUCUGAUGUCUGUACAGGCUAAUGUAUUCACGCAGCAUGAAAACAGUUUUUGGCACCAUAUGGGAUUUGGAUUUCAACCAUUUUGUCUGGAACAAGUGAAUUUUAUGAGUUAACCAGCUAAUUUACAAGCAUCAGUUCUAUCAACGUGAAAAAUAAUAUGAUUUCAUACUGUCACUGCUGUCUGACAUUAGAUCAAGAAUUCCAUGAAAGCUGUCUUAAAUACAGACUUGAUGGCUAAAUACCACUAUACUAAGAGAAUGAGACCAAAAAUAUAUAUAUACAUAUACAUAGAACUGGCCUGAGUUUUAAUUUGACCAUGCUGACAUCAAUUUAGAGGGAAUUGUUACCACAAAGUGAGGCAAGUUUAGGGCUUCAAAAGUAAUUAGACUGAUACACGUGAAGUCAGAUAAAGUCAUCAUAUUUAAUAAUUUGUUGGAAAUUCUUCUUCAGCUCUUGCUUGUUGUGAAGUCUUUGCUCUUUGGUUUCUUUGCUUGUAUUUUUAGGAUCAUUGACCUGCUGAAUGAUGAACUUACUUAAGAUGCAUUUGGCUGAAGCACACAGAAUGAUCCUGUGCAUAAAUCCUGUUGUUUCAUUCUACACUAAAACCCUCACCAAAUAUCUGUGUACGCUUCCAUUGACAGCUAUACAUGGUCAAGCUAUAACACAACCACCAUCUUGCCUGACAGAUGCAGCAACCCACUGGCUCAUGGGCUGUUCCUUUUUUCCCCAAACAUUCCUGUUUCCAUCCUGUUGAUAGAAGCUUAUCAGAGGUAUGAAGGUCAUGUAGUCUUCUCCCUGAUUUUCUGGCUGGGAAACAUGUUUGCCUGCAUCCUGGAGCGUAUUCUUAUCCUGCUGUGCAAUAAUUUAUCUUCCACUAAACCUCGCCUAACCAUACCUGCUUUUGUUGAUAUUGGCAAAGUGAAUACAUUUGAUAUCUCUUUGAAGCAACUGAGCAUUUUUGUACCUCAUUUUUAUCUUCUUCACUUGCAAGGUCACCUCUUAACUCCUCAUAUUGCCAGUUAACUCCACCUCAGUCUAAAGGACGGCUCUCAGACAAGUCCAGGCCACAUGUGAGCUCUUUUUCACAUGAACGCUGAAAGGACACACAGCUGCCCCAGUAACAUUUAGCAGCUCAGUGUCCGAUAACCGUAGAGCCAUUGCGGUUUGGGAACAAUGUGUUAAAAGGGCUUUAUCUCCCACACAGUUCUGUAUAACAAUUCAACUCAGCUUUGCACUUUAAUGUUAUAUUCCUUGUUUUUCUAUCAAACUGAAUGUGCUGAACCGGAGAGCCUGAACAGUUGUGCCAAAAAUAAUUUGAAGUGUAAAUUAAGGGUUGGUGAGCGCCAUGAGUUAUGGUGAGUGCCAAGUGUGUGAUUGCGGCUGUGCUUUUAGUUCUGUAAAAACAAAUAAAAGACACCACUCUCUUAAUUCUUUAAAGUUUUACUCUUUGACAGCCCAGUGCACACAAUAUUAGCAUGUGGGAUGAUUACCAAAGUUGCUGUGCAGCUGCAACUUUUUUACUGCCACAAAAAGAAGUCAAAUAACAAAUAAUUCUGACAAAGUCUAACUUGUUUCAUGUUCUGUUAGGCCUCGUAGUUAAGACUGACAGAUAUUAUCCUCCUCUGUCUUUUCCAUCUGAGACAAAGUGAUGAUAAAAACAGCAUGCUCAAGUUAUUUUCAUCUUAUUAUGCUUUUAUGUAAUACUGCUCCCUGUGUGGUCAGUCCAGUGGGCUCGUGUUCGGACUGAGCUUUGAGAAAAUGAGACGAGAAGGCUGCUUAUUAGAGCCUCUUAAUUAACGCUCUCCCCAGAUCAAAAUCAGUGUUAGACGGAAAUCCCAGGGGCUCUCCCAUAGCAACCUUGGCCGUGUGGAUAAUGCCAACACUAGUGUUGCCAAAUCUCAAGGGAUUUGCUCUCUAAUCUUCCUGUGAUCUCAGUUUCUAAUGCCAAAAGUCAUUACGGAAAUGCUCGCAAUUCUUGUUGUUAAACAUGCUAACUAUGGACACAUCAUGCUCAAAAAGAAACAGUACUGGCAUCACAUUGCUAACACAUUUGUAAAUCCUGUCCUUUAUGACCAUAUUACAGAUCACACAAUGGAUUGGAGAAAGAUGAGUGAAUUAUUUGACAGAUUUCUGUGCAGGAUGCAAUCUCGUUAAAGGUCUGCAAAAGGAGGUGUUUAAUUCAAUCUUAGAGCAAAUUAAUUAGGUUACUUAUAGCACACAAUAAUUUGGCUUGAAGCCCAGCACAGGCUCAAAUAGUUUAAAGUCAGCAAAUGAGAAAUGGUGCAGGAGGCUUGUUUCAUGUGAGAUGAAGCAGUUUAGGUCCAGGAUUAUGAGGAGAAGGAAAACACAAAGAGAAAGAUGAGUGUAUAGAGUGUGUUUGCUGUUAUGUAUGCUAUUUUUGACAGACAUUAUGAUUGUUUUGAGACGAAAGGAAGGCAAAUGUUGUUUGAAUAAUUUAAGAGUGCACAUAAAAUAGGAAGAGAUUGCAUCGAAAUGGCUUGUGCGUUACUACUGAAAGACAGGGAGAUGAUUUAGUAACAACAACAAGAGGAGAGAGAGAAAAAUUGCUGGUUAAAAGGUUGUGGGGAAAUGUAGUGUAGACAAAUGUUACUAUGACGUUACUGAUCGUCAGAUACACUCACACAGAAGAAUGUGUGUUCAUAAACAUAGGUGCGUGUGGGAAACUGGCGUCAAUGUCUUCUGGACAAUCCUACUACAGGUCUUUGGUGUGUGCAAUUUCUCCUACUGCACUUUGACACGUUCAAGUGCUCAAAGUUUAUUUGUACAGCUCUGAAUAAUAGUUAACAAUUUUACAGCGUUUCACUGCGCUGCGGUAAUGCAAGCAAUAAAAGAUAAAAACACACAUCAAGCCCAGACAUUUAAUUAAAGUGAGGAAAAACCAACAAAAAAAUCUCUAAGGAAUAGAAAAUAGAUUAAACCUUGAAAAGAGCGAGUCAAACUUGCAGGAUGUGCUUUGCUUUUAACACAAAUAUAGCACUACACAACACUUAAUGUGUCUGUGCAUUUCCCAAAGCACAAACAAAUCUUAGUGUGUUUAAAAUAUCUUUUAAAGAUGAUAAACACAAUAAUGAUACAGUCACCUCUUUAUUCAUGCCACUCUCAAAUAAAUCAUAAAUAACAUAAAUAUGUACGAAUAAUAAGUCUGAGUUAGUGGUUGUUAUUGUGUAAUUAUUUGCUCCCUGUGUCCAGACUAAAUUUCACCUUCAGAAUUUUCAUCAUAAGCAUGAGAAAUGUCAGUAAGCAACUGGCACAUUGCUGGUAUCUGCUGCUGAUUUCCAGUCUGGAAGGGUUGAACAUCCCAGUUGUAUAAAGUGGGACUGACAGUGGCAGUGAUUUGCAAAUGGAACAAACUUCUAAUUUAUAGAAGGAUGUGUUUAACACUGCUGCCAUCCUCAGGAUCCUGGAGCUGAGACGUUACACAGAGAAAGAUUCAAACCUGAGAAGGUAUAAUUCAGCCUAUGCCAGACAAAAUGGUUCCUGUAGAAAAUGCCCUAUUGCUUCUUAAUUAUGAGGCUUCACUUUAGUUUCCCAGGCACGGUGCUCAAGAGGAGAGCUACACUGGCUGAAUAAAAGGCUAAACACAUGUCAGACUGGUGGAUGAUGCUGCACACGCUGCCUAUAUCCAUCCAGCCUGCUGUAAACUGGCCGACAGUCAAGCAUGCUGGCCCAGCCAAUCACUGCCAUACAUGGAGAUACUGACCCCCAGAUUAAAACACACUGCCGCCUCCCCUGACCCUCACUGUGUUGCCUUCCUCAAGCCAACAUUUUUUGGAAAUGGUCUGUUUUACCUCCAUUGCCACCCAUUUAAGCGGCUCCUCAGUUCACCUGACCUGAGGUCACUUCCAGUUUGUCGCCACACACAGUCCCGGUCACUGAUCAAACCUUACUUUAGGCUGAGUAAACAGCACUUUAUUGCCUGUCCAAUAGGAAGCCACUCUCUUUAUGAAAGAAAUCAGUCAGGGAGCUGUUUUAAUUUGCAGCUGUUAUCCUUCUCACCACUAAUCUGCCUCCUCUGGUGCUGUGCAGCUGGUGUCCUGCCUGUCAGCUACUGUAUUGGUUAAUGUAUUAAAGCGUCGCUGCAGGGCGUCCCGGCUCUUACACAGACAAUCUUUUCCCUGCAAUCUUUUCUCCAGUGGUUUAACAAUCUUCCACCCAGCUGAAGUGUCUGCUGUUGUGUUGCUGUGACGCCACACUUUGAAAACACCGAGGGGUGCAAGUGAGGAGUCAAUUGUUCUGGAAUCAAUACAAGAAGACAUUUACUUUUUCUUGGGACAUUGAUUUGUAGUGAAGACAGAUUUUUGUUUAAAUGAAGUCAUUCAACUAACCAAACCCUGCGUGUGUGUGAUUUAGAGCUGCAUCUAACAGUUAUUUUCAUUAUUGAUCAGUCGGAUGAUUAUUUUCUCAAUUCAUCAAUUUUUUAGCCUUUAUAGGGAAAAGUGGUCUUUUAAAAUUUCCUCAAGAUCAGCAGUCUUCCUUUGUCGUAGUCCAGUUCUCAAAAAUAUAAAGUUGCAUAAGACAAAAUAAUCAAUUUGUGCAAAAAUACUGGAAUUUUUAUCUGACCAAAAUACUGGAAUAAAACAAUAGUUCUUUUCACUGUAAUUCAUUGUGUGUAGUGUAGGUGAGAUUGAAUGUGGUCUUCAUAGAGACAUCUGCCAGCAACCUGUCAAAUACACUUAUUAAUUAUUUGGAACUUACUGAUUCUGUUCAUGCUUAUGUUUCUUUAAUACAUCUUGAGAGCCCAACUGGCUCUCCUGACCUCAGCACUGCAGAAAUCUGUCAGCACUGAUAGAAAAUUGUAGUUUUCCUGCUGUGUGGUCCAGUAUGAUCACGUGUCUCCUGGCUUCUCUUUUCCUGAAUGCCUUGCUGCAUGCGUUAUGCAAAUUCUAAAAAGCCUCAUGUCACCAUGGAAACUGUCAGCUGAUUUGUACCCAAGGUUCUGCUGUAUCCCCAUGAGGAGAUCAGCAAACACCGUGUGCUGCUGUCUGUCCGGUCACAUGUGUGCGCAUACGACUGUUAAUGUAUAUAUGAGAAAGAGAUGAGAGAAAGAGGAUGUGUGAGAGGAGCCGCAGAGCUUGAAACCUCUCUUUUCUUUCUCCACUGUUUUUCCACCACGACCAUUAAUCCUUUCUGCAUUGAUGGACCGAUUCCUGUUUUUGAUCAUCAGUGUGCAAAUCCUGGUCCGGUCAGUCGCUCAGAUCACAUGCAGCUGCCUGCCAUUGUUUGCUUUGGCCAUAUGUUGUGGCAGACAGCUGCAUGGGCACUCUCCUCUGUCUCAUUACAAUCUCCGUCCACUCUUAUUACAGCAUGACUGAGAGGCCCCAUGGCUCUGACAUGUACUGAAAAAUCUCCCAUUCUCACAUUUCAUUGUAAACACAAACACACAAUGUGAUGUAUAGAUUACUGGCUGUAUGUACAGCAUCCUCCCAGCCUGCCCUUGUGUUCUUUUCAGCCUGCACUGAAAGGCUCCAUCACCAAAUCAGUUGUAAGGAAUGUUUUAUUUUUGUAUUUCGAGCCUUUAAGCUCAGGAUGAACGUUCAUUUUAAAGGUUACAUCCCUCUAAACAGAUCUUAUGGUAAAUGUCAGACUCUCACUUUCUCUCUUCAUUCCCUUCUUUCUUUCUUUCUUUCUUUCUUUGUAACAUUUCAGUGGGGUAUUUAAGAAAAUAGGUCGUUUCUAGAGUUUCAUUUCUGCCUGUUGCCUCAAGGCCUCUUAGUGCCUGUACAUCUUUGCUGCAUAUAUUAUACACCAUACCCUCCACUUCAAACAUCUUCCUCCUUUGCUUUCUUUCUACAUUAUGUAUCUCUGACCUCACUUUAUCUCAGAGGAUGAGUGGGUGUCUUGGAGUGAUGUGGCCUCCAGAGUACAAGACAGCUGGACGGAAGUAAGCAGGGCUGGGAGACAUUUAGUGGUCGAACACUGAAUGAACAGAUAAGACAGAACCCAUGUGUGGUCAGCGGUGGUCAGGUAGGAAAUUCCUUGGUCUGCCCUUCCUCCGCUACUGAAUCAUUUAAGAGACACUGGCAGGUCUUCACCUCUAUAAAAUAAAAAAUAGAUAGUUUUAUGUUAUACUUAGGCAAUUUGUAAAAAGAAUAUCCUUGGGUUGAUUUGCCACGUGGUAAGACUGACCUCCAAAUUCAACUAACAGUUUAGUAGUUGCUUUUUAAGGUGGGGUUUUCCCAUCAUGCUUGUCACCUUUAAACUAUUUCAUUUUUCAAACACAAUAAAACUUGGAGUGAAGAAUCUAAAACUGGAAUCCACCCAGCUGUGAUGCCAGGUUUGGACGCUGGGUGAUUUAGUCUCUGUGCCAUAACCAAAACUUAGCUGAUGAUCCAUCACUCAAACAGAAAUCCCCAGACAGAGAAGGAUAGGAUGCACACAUGCACCAAGAGACACAUAAAGGAACAGUAAAAAUGGAAAAGGAAAAGGUACAGAGGGAAAUACAUUCUGCCAGGUAUCCAGUGGUGCAGCACUUUCUAUAAUUGCAACCUGGUGAAUUUGUUGUCAUGGCUACACUUAGUGGUGGGCCUGGCACACUGGGACCAGUUAAGGUAAUUUUAGUUUUGAUGCAUUAGUAGUUUCACACUUAUGUACAGAGAGGUGAGAUGUGACAGACCAGAGUUUCUCUGCAAUGAAAAAGGAAAUGAAAAGCUCAAGACUCUGUCUGCCGUUGCUGGAUUGUGGAUCAACAAAACCUUUAUUCAGGAAAAUAGCGUCAUCUCAGAAAUACCAAUUAAAGAAACAACAGAUGACACAGUAAUCAGGCAGUAUAGUUUGACUUUGGGAAAUAUUCUUAUUGUUUUUCUUGCUAAGACUCAGAAGAUCAGAACCAGUCUCAUGUCUUUAUAGUAAACAUGAAGCUCCACUCAGCAGCUGGUUGGUUUAGCUUCCUAUAAAGAAGGAAAACAGGAGGAAGCAGUUUGCCUGGUGUGAUCAAAGGCUAAAAAAAAAUCCACCUACCACCUCUAAAGCUCAAUAAUUAACAAAUUAUGUCUCUAAGAGUACUCCUCAAUGAAAUUGUCAUUUUUAUACUUUGGUUUCCGUAUACAGAUAAUACGUAGGGUGUCAAAUAAUAGACUCUGGAGGUGCUGUUAUGUUUGACGUUGGGUGUGUGUGACGUUUGCUGUUCGUCUUUGCUGGUGUAUUUGUCGUUGCAAUUUAAAUUGAAACAUAAUUUGAUUGGAAAACUUUUCUCCAUUUUCCACUGCAGGCAACGCAAAGCAACAGCCAGACAAUUAAAUACAUCAGCCCAUUUAAAAUGAAUGAGAAAUCUGCAGACGUGAGUUGUGACUUACUGUUAUCAACAGAGCCAGCCUCACUGUUUGCAGUCUUUGGGCUAAACUAAGCUUACUGUCUUCUGGCUUCAGCUCCAUAUUUGAUGGACAGAUGGUACUGAGCUUCUCAUCUGACUCAACAAGACACGGAAGAACUGUAUUUCUCAAAGCUAUUCCUCUAAAUAUUUUUACAGGAGCUUUUAUGUUGUUAGUCUUGAUCAUCAGACUUGUCUCUCUUAAAUGUAAUUGAAUGUCCACUGAAGUGUAGAUCUAAUAAUGCUUCUUAUAGGAUUAUGGUCAGUGACCAGGCGUCUCUAGCUUCAGCUGAUGUUCUCCCUAACAAGUAACUCUCUCCACUCAGUGCUGACACUCAAUCAUGUCACAGGAACCCAGUGACAUCAGGUCUUCAUGGUAAACACUGUCCAGGGUCACCGCACUGGAGAUGAUAAAUUAGUGAAUGUUAAUUAGAUGUUAACAGACACUAGACAGGUAAAGGCAUCUUAUCAGAGUCAGCUGCUUGGCAUGAGCUUGUAUCAAGCUUCAGUCUGAGAUGAAACCAUGUGAUGAGUCUUAGACACUGUAGCCAUGGAGAUGGUGGGCACGUAAACAGCAGAGCUUGGAGACAGAAAACAGAGAUUCCCCUUCAACAGAAUGAAGUAAAGAUGUCUAGACUAAUGCUGCUGGGCGGGCAAAGCUUUCAGCGGAAGUGAGUCAAUAACUUGCUUUCAUUCAUUCAUUCUCAGAAUCACUUUCUCCAAUAGAGGUCAUGAACUUCCUUUUCUGAUGUAAGAGGUCAGGACCCCUGUCUGACUCCUGCUCAUGAUCCAUCUUCAAGCUCUUAGUGGUUGCAGCUGGUCAGUAGACAGCUUAAGAAACACUUAUUGUAUAUCGCCCUUAUAUAAGCAAAUUAAUUGACAGCCUGAAAAUUUUCUGUCUAUUUUUUUGAUUUGCUUCACUAAUACAGUAAAAACUAUUUCAACCCCAGUUCCCUCUGAUCCUGCCUGCAUCUAUUAAUAGGACAAAGGAAGAAAGAGGCAGAAGAUAGCAACCUAAAACCAAUAAAACUAUGAGAUUCCUGUGAUGAGAGGAGUCAUAUAAAACCUCGCGUUCUUGAAAAAGUAGAAUUGUUAGAGCAACGUAAAAAAAAUUGUUUCAACCAGUAGCACACAAUUAAGUUUAUCCACAGUAAGCUAGCAAGUUGUAUUAAUGCAUCUUUUUUGAGGAAAGCGCUUUCCAACUUAAGUAUGGAGGACUAAAAGUGCCAAAAUUAAAUAAAUAAAUACAUCAUUAAAUAAUUAAUUAAAUAUGUCAUUAAUUAAUUAAAAUUGGAAUUAAAUAUUUCAUUAAUUAAUUAAAAUUGGAAUUAAAUACUUAAAUGUGUUAUUAAAUAAAUAUAUCAUUAAAUAAUUAAAUAUGUCAUUAAUUAGUUAAAAUUGGAAUUAAAUAUGUCAUUAAUUAAUUAAAAUUGGAAUUAAAUACAUAAAUGUGUUAUUAAAUAUGUCAUUAAUUUAUUAAAAUAACAAUUAUUUUAAGUAAAAAACAUAUUUCAUUAUUUCACGAUUUAAUUAAUUAUUUCAUGGUCCUUGUGUUGCAGUGGAUCAUGAAUUAAUUUUAUCUGUCAACCUCGCCCGUCAAAGUCCGUGGGCGGAUCCUAACACCUGAUUGGUUACCCUGCACAUCAAGUCAAGGCAAAUCGAUUCCAGAUAAUGGAUUGACGCAGAGCUUGUGAACACAUUCCGAUACACUGGGUGGCGCUAUUCACCUCUACGUUGGUUUGGAUACUCAAUAAAACAAAACUUUAUUAGCAACCGCUAAAGACUCGGUCCUCUUUCCCAAAUGUUGAUACAUGCGGUGCAAGACAAAUUUUCCUUUAGCAUUUCCUUUAGCAUCUACUCGGCGCGCCACGGCUCGUCUCGGUUUAGUUGUUUUUCCAUUACAUUGAGAACCACCUCAUCGUGGGUGGAGUCGUCAUAGCACGGCGGUCCGAAAGUCCCUUACCGUCAUUUCUGUGCGACACAAACGCAAUGCAACAAUGUACAUGGAGGCGAUAGUACACCUGCUGCUCGGUCUGUGGCUUUCUGUCAGAUUCAGAGUAAUAGAAGAGUCGGAGAAAGCUGAGAGCGACGAGUCGAAACACUGAGGAGACACACAGGAGAGUUUGGGAGGCGAUGCAGCAGUAUCAAGCUGAAGACAAGAGGAUAUGAACUAGACGACAUAUGAGGAUGCUCUCUGAUGAGACUUCAUGGGAUUUACCUGAAGCAGCAGCACAUGAGCCUGCAGUGGCACAAAGUGUAGAGGAGGAGGGCAGAGAUGUACAGGAUGCACUGAUGCACUACGUGUCAUGCAAAGUUAUUCUUCUUGUUAUACUUCUGUUUUUCGGUCCCCGGACCGCUAUUGUUUUCUUUAAUGCAAUUCUGACAAUAAACUUUUGUAGAUGUGUCUA